rnacentral:tRNA from 1 species
GGCGGGAUUACCGAGUCUGGUCAAAGGUGCUGGACUUAAGAUCCAGUGGCAAAGGCCUUCGGGAGUUCAAAUCUCCCUCCCGCCA